GGGAUACAAAGGAGGAAGAUUUGCUGGGCCAGAACUAUGCUCAACAAUGCCAACUCGUAGCUGUCACUGAGGUAUACAUAUUCUGAUAGGAAGACCUAUUUUGCAAUCUGUUACACAAUAUCUGCAGAAGAGUUUGGACUCUCCAAGGGACCUAUCUUUUCAUUCAUCCGUAAAUCUCAGAAAGACAAACUGAGGCAAGUUGAAGAGGCAUGUUCAAGAUUUGUCAAAUUACAAGAAUUUGUCACUUGAAUACUAUAUGGAAUCAGAGGCAGAAGGAAAAGGGGGAAAAGAGCCAACUUGAAUUUUCUUCCUCAAGGAGCAAUUUUCUUAAGAUUGAAAUGAAAAUUCCCACUCAGCAUUUUCCUAAGAUGAUGCACUGCACGUCAACAAUUAUUUCAAUAAAAUGGAUGAAAUUG
rnacentral:lncRNA from 1 species